UACGUAGGGUGCAAGCGUUAAUCGGAAUUACUGGGCGUAAAGCGUGCGCAGGCGGUCGUGCAAGACAGGUGUGAAAUCCCCGGGCUUAACCUGGGAACUGCGCUUGUAACUGGCAAGCUUGAGUGUGGCAGAGGGGGGUGGAAUUCCACGUGUAGCAGUGAAAUGCGUAGAGAUGUGGAGGAACACCGAUGGCGAAGGCAGCCCCCUGGGCUAACACUGACGCUCAUGCACGAAAGCGUGGGGAGCAAACAGG
rnacentral:rRNA from 1 species